GAUGAACGCUGGCGGCGUGCCUAAUACAUGCCAGUCGAGCGAACAGACGAGGAGCUUGCUCCUCUGACGUUAGCGGCGGACGGGUGAGUAACACGUGGAUAACCUACCUAUAAGACCGGGAUAACUUCGGGAAACCGGAGCUAAUACCGGAUAAUAUAUUGAACCGCAUGGUUCAAUAGUGAAAGACGGUUUUGCUGUCACUUAUAGAUGGAUCCGCGCCGCAUUAGCUAGUUGGUAAGGUAACGGCUUACCAAGGCAACGAUGCGUAGCCGACCUGAGAGGGUGAUCGGCCACACUGGAACUGAGACACGGUCCAGACUCCUACGGGAGGCAGCAGUAGGGAAUCUUCCGCAAUGGGCGAAAGCUUGACGGAGCAACGCCGCGUGAGUGAUGAAGGUCUUCGGAUCGUAAAACUCUGUUAUUAGGGAAGAACAAAUGUGUAAGUAACUAUGCACGUCUUGACGGUACCUAAUCAGAAAGCCACGGCUAACUACGUG
rnacentral:rRNA from 1 species